GGGGGAUAAGCUUCAUUGUCAAGAGGGAAACAGCCCAGAUCACUGUUUAAGGCCCCUAAAUAAUUACUAAGUGAUAAAGGAUGUAAUAUUACAUAGACAACCAGGAGGUUAGCUUAGAAGCAGCUAUUCCUUUAAAAAGUGCGUAAUAGCUUACUGGUCAAGUGAUUUUGCGCCGAAAAUGUAUGGGACUAAGUAAUUUGCCGAAGACGUGAGAUAUUAAUCGGUAGAAGAGCGUUCUAUUUUAGUUAGAAGCAGUAAUGUAAAUAACUGUGGACUGUAUAGAAGUGAGAAUGUCAGCUUAAGUAACGAAAACAUUGGUGGAAAUCCAAUGCCCCGUAAACCUAAGGUUUCCUUAAGCUAGGUUCGUCCACUGAGGGUUAGUCAGAUUCUAAGACUAGGUUUAAUUACGUAGUCGAUGACAAACAGGUUAUUAUUCCUGUACUAUUUUAUAUUUGUUAUGAGUGACGAAAGAAGGCUAUCUCAGCCCAAUGUUGGUUUUUGGUUCAAAAUUACAAGGUUUUGGAAUUAUUAAGAAAAAAUAGUUUUAGCUAAGUGUUGAGCACGAUAGAUGCUAUGGUAUUAAAAGUGAGUUAAGUCAAACUUCCUAGAAAAACUCUGGUAACGUUAAAUAUAAAGUAUCUGUACCGUAAACUGACACAGGUGGGUGAGUAGAGAAUACUAAGGGGCGCGAGAUAACUCUUUCUAAGGAACUCGGCAAAAUAACUCCGUAACUUCGGGAGAAGGGGUGCCUCAUAAUAGAGGUCGCAGUGAUCAGGUCCAAGCGACUGCUUACCAAAAGCACAGGUCUCCGCUAAGUUGAAAAACUAUGUAUGGGGGCUGACGCCUGCCCAGUGCCGGAAGGUUAAAGAAAUUGGUUAGCUUUUGCGAAGCUAGUGACUGAAGCCCUGGUGAACGGCGGUUGUAACUAUAACGAUCCUAAGGUAGCGAAAUUCCUUGUCGGGUAAGUUCCGACCCGCACGAAAGGCGUAACGAUUUGGACGCUGUCUCAGAAAGAGACUCGGUGAAAUAGAAUUGACUGUGAAGAUGCGGUCUACUUGCACUUGGACAGAAAGACCCUAUGAAGCUUUACUAUAAUUUGAAAUUGGUUUUGGGCUCUUCUUGCGCAGAAUAGGUGGGAAGCUAUGAAUCUUUUUUUCGGAAAAUGAUGAGCUGCAAUGUGAGAUACCACUCUUGAAGAGUUAAAAAUCUAAUAGUAUUAUUUUAGCAAGAUACUUGACAGUUUCAGACGGGUAGUUUUACUGGGGCGGUAGCCUCCUAAAAGGUAACGGAGGCGUACAAAGGUUUUCUCAGUCUGGUCGGAAAUCAGUUUUAGAGUGCAAAGACAAAAGAAAGCUUGACUGUGAGACCUAUAAGUCGAGCAGAGACUAAAGUCGGUCUUAGUGACCCGACGGUGCUGUGUGGAAAGGCCGUCGUUCAACAGAUAAAAGUUACUCUAGGGAUAACAGGCUGAUCUCCCCCAAGAGUUCAUAUCGACGGGGAGGUUUGGCACCUCGAUGUCGGCUCAUCGCAUCCUGGGGCGGUAGUACGUUCCAAGGGUUGGGCUGUUCGCCCAUUAAAGCGGUACGUGAGCUGGGUUCAGAACGUCGAGAGACAGUUCGGUCCAUAUCCGGUGUGAGCGUUAGAGUAUUGAAAAGAGCUUUCCUUAGUACGAGAGGACCGGGAAGGACGCACCACUGAUGUGCCAGUUUUUGUGCCAACAGAAAAUGCUGGGUAGUCAAGUGUGGAGUGGAUAACUGCUGAAGCAUAAA
rnacentral:rRNA from 1 species